ensembl:lncRNA
GGGAAACUAGCGGGGCGGCACACCCCUCACCGCCCCUAUGAUAUCUACCAGGUGAUCUAAUUAGAACGAUAACUAGCUGGGACUGGAGGGCAGCUCUUUGUGCAAAACAGGAAGAAAACAACACGGAGAUGGAUCAACCAAAUUGCACGAAAUGGACAUAGAGUGCUGAGGAUAUUAAGUGUCACGGAUACUGGAAAAUCUGAUCAGCAGCACCAACAUCAUGUGCGAGCUUCUGAGAAAUGCAGCUUGUUGGGCCCUUCCUCGAAUCUACUGAAUCAGAAUGGGUGUUUUACAAAGAUCCUCACCUCAUUCAGAUGCACACUGAAGUUUGACCAUUGUUAUGUUACCUUAUUCAGACUUCACAACAUCCCGAUGGGGCUCUCAGCUCUGGGCCUCAGGCCUCAAGUCCACAGCAGAUGCCUGAUGCGAUCCCUCGCAGUACGUGCGCACUUACGUGUAAAGCGUCUUAGUGAAGAAAGGUGGCCCAGACUGUAUUCACUUGCAUUUCCUUCCUCAUCACAUCAGUGCACCACACACAUUUUGAGAAGGAAAUCAAUAAAAAAUGUUUUCCCAU